GUCGUCGAAAGGGAAACAGCCCAGAUCGUCGUCUAAGGUCCCCAAGCGUGUGCUAAGUGGGAAAGGAUGUGGAGUCGCAUAGACAGCCAGGAGGUUGGCUCAGAAGCAGCCACCCUUGAAAGAGUGCGUAACAGCUCACUGGUCUAGUGGUUCCGCGCCGACAAUGUAGCGGGGCUCAAGCACACCACCGAAGACGCGGCAGUAGCUUUGCUACUGGGUAGGAGAGCGUCCCAUGCGGGGCGAAGCGGCGGCGCAAGCCCGCCGUGGACCGCAUGGGAGUGAGAAUGCAGACAUGAGUAGCGAAAGACGGGUGAAGAUCCCGUCCGCUGGACGACCAAGGGUUCCAGGGCCACGUUCAUCGUCCCUGGGUGAGUCGGGUCCUAAGGCGAGGCCGACAGGCGUAGUCGAAUGGAUGAACGGGUCGAUAUUCCCGUACCGGCAUGCAACCGACAAAACCGAAUCCGCGAGUACUAACCUCCGGGUCCGGGCUUACGUCUCCUUCGGGAGCCGGAUGCCCUGGCCUGUUGGGACCGUAACGGUAGUAGGUCAGCGCGGGAGUGACGCAGAAGGGUAGCCGGCCGCGGAGGUGGUCUUCCGUGGUCAAGCACGCAGCCCGUCCCACAGGCAAAUCCGUGGGGCGCGUGGGCGAGGUGCGAUGAUGGGCGCCGCAGGGCGCGAUAUCCGGUGAUCCCGGCUGCCGAGAAAAGCUUCGGCGUGAGGCGGCGUGCCGCCCGUACCCCAAACCGACACUGGUGGUCAGGUAGAGAAUACCAAAGCGAUCGAGCGAAUCCUGGUCAAGGAACUCGGCAAAUCACUCCCGUUCCUUCGGUUUAAGGGAGACCCCCGAUGGUGAAGCGGCUUGCCCGUGGAGCUUUUGGGGGUGGCACAGACCAGGGGGUAGCGACUGUUUACCAAAAACACAGGAGCGUGCGAAGGCGCAAGCCGCUGUAUACGCUCUGACGCCUGCCCGGUGCCGGAAGGUUAAGAGGAUCCGUCAGGCUUCGGCCGAAGCGGUGAAUUCAAGCCCCGGUAAACGGCGGUGGUAACUAUAACCAUCCUAAGGUAGCGAAAUUCCUUGUCGGGUAAGUUCCGACCUGCACGAAUGGCGUAACGACUUCCCCACUGUCUCGACCAGGAGCUCGGCGAAAUUGCAGUACGAGUAAAGAUGCUCGUUAAGCGCAGAAGGACGAAAAGACCCCGGGACCUUUACUAUACCUUGGUAUUGGCAUUCGGUGUGGAUUGUGUAGCAUAGGCGGAAGGCUUCGAAGCCACGGCGCCAGCCGCGGUGGAGCCGCAAGGUGAAAUACCGCUCUGUUCGCAUUGGAUGUCUAACCUCGACCAGUCAUCCUGGUCAGGGACAGUGCCUGGCGGGUAGUUUAACUGGGGCGGUUGCCUCCCAAAGAGUAACGGAGGCGCUCAAAGGUUCCCUCAGCCCGGUUGGCAAUCGGGUGGCGAGUGUAAGUGCACAAGGGAGCUUGACUGCGAGACUGACGGGUCGAGCAGGGACGAAAGUCGGAACUAGUGAUCCGGU
rnacentral:rRNA from 1 species